GGGGGGGGGGGGGGGCGGGGCGAGCGGAGGCGGGGCGGGGGGGAGGCGCUGUCGGGGGCGGACACCGGCGCACGGGUGCGUGACUCGUGUGCAACCUGCCUUUCACAGGGGGAUAGCCCGAAGAAAUUUGGCUUAAUACCCCAUAAUAUUAUUGGAUGGCCUCAUUUGAUAAUUAAACCUUCGCGGGUGCAAGCUUGGCAUUCGUCCUCUUAGCUAGUUGGAGUGGUAACGUCUCCCCAAGGCUACGAUAGGUAUGGGUCCUGAGAGGGAGAUCCCCCAAACUGGUACUGAGACAGGGACCAGACUCCUACGGGAGGCAGCAGUGAGGAAGAUGGGUCAAUGGUCGGAAGACUGAACCAGACAUGCCGCGUGCAGGAAGAAUGCCGUAUGGGUUGUAAACUGCUUUUAUAUGGGAAGAAUAAGGCGUACGUGUACGUUGAUGACGGUACAAGAUGAAUAAGCAUCGGCUAACUCAGUG
rnacentral:rRNA from 1 species